rnacentral:rRNA from 1 species
UACGUAGGGUGCAGGCGUUAAUCGGAAUUACUGGGCGUAAAGCGUGCGCAGGCGGUUUGCUAAGACAGGUGUGAAAUCCCCGGGCUCAACCUGGGAACUGCAUUUGUGACUGCACAGCUGGAGUGCGGCAGAGGGGGAUGGAAUUCCGCGUGUAGCAGUGAAAUGCGUAGAUAUGCGGAGGAACACCGAUGGCGAAGGCAAUCCCCUGGGCCUGCACUGACGCUCAUGCACGAAAGCGUGGGGAGCAAACAGG